rnacentral:sRNA from 2 species
ACACAAAAAAUGCCGAAUCCCGGCAGGCCGGGUACGGAGGAACCAAUUUGGGGGUGAAUCCUGGCUCGUCAGGUAGGGAUAUCCUUGCCCGAACCCGUCAGCUAACUCCGGAGGCAAAAAGGAGAGGAGAA